rnacentral:rRNA from 1 species
AGAGUUUGAUCAUGGCUCAGAACGAACGCUGGCGGCAGGCCUAACACAUGCAAGUCGAACGAUCCUUCGGGAUAGUGGCAGACGGGUGAGUAACGCGUGGGAAACUACCUUUCGGUACGGAAUAGCCUCGGGAAACUGGGAUUAAUACCGUAUACGUCCUUCGGGAGAAAGAUUUAUCGCCGAUUGAGGUGCCCGCGUUGGAUUAGCUUGUUGGUGAGGUAAUGGCUCACCAAGGCGACGAUCCAUAGCUGGUCUGAGAGGAUGAUCAGCCACACUGGGACUUAGACACGGCCCAGACUCCUACGGGAGGCAGCAGUGGGGAAUAUUGGACAAUGGGCGAAAGCCUGAUCCAGCCAUGCCGCGUGAGUGAUGACGGCCUUAGGGUUGUAAAGCUCUUUCAGUGGGGAAGAUAAUGACGGUACCCACAGAAGAAGCCCCGGCUAACUCCGUGCCAGCAGCCGCGGUAAUACGGAGGGGGCUAGCGUUGUUCGGAAUUACUGGGCGUAAAGCGCGCGUAGGCGGAUCUUUAAGUCAGGGGUGAAAUCCUGGGGCUCAACCUCAGAACUGCCCUUGAUACUGAAGAUCUUGAGUCCGGAAGAGGUUAGUGGAAUUCCCAGUGUAGAGGUAAAAUUCGUAGAUAUUGGGAAGAACACCAGUGGCGAAGGC